UUUUUAUACGACCGCAAAAAAAUUUUUGUGGUCGUAUAUUGGUAUGACGUUGGCGUCGUCGUCGUCGUCGUCGUCGUCGUCGUCGUCCGGCGUCGUCGUCGUCCGGCGUCGUCGUCCGAAUACACAUUAGUUUUCGCACUCUAACUUUAGUUUAAGUGAAUGGAUCUCAUUGAAAUUUUACCAUAAGGUUCAAUACCACAAAAGGAAGGUGGGGAUUGAUUUUGGGGGUUGUGGUACUAACAGUUAAGGAAUUAGGGGCCAAAAGGGGCCAAAAAUAAGCAUUUUUGUAACUUCCAGACAUAACUUGUGUGUAAGUGUAUGGAUCUCUCUGACAUUGUACCACAAGGUUCCAUAUCACAAAGGGAAUGCUGGGAUUGAUUUUGGGGGUAAUUGUCUCCAAAUUUUAGGAAUUAGGGGCCAAAAAGGGGCAAAAAACAAGCAUUUUUCUAGUUUCAUGACAAUAACUUGCUUGUAAGUGUAUGGAUCUUUAUGAAAUUGUACUACAAGGUUCCAUAUCACAAAGGGAAGGCUGGGAUUGAUUUUGGGGGUUUUCACUCAAAAUUUUAGUAAUUAGGGGCCAUAAAAGGGCAAAAAAAACAUGCAUUUUUCUAGUUUCAGGACAAUAACUUGUGUGUAAGUGUAUGGAUCUUUAUGAAAUUGUACUGCAAGGUUCCAUAUCACAAAGGGAAAGCUGGAAUUGAGUUUGGGGGUAAUUGCCCUAAACGUUUAGGAAUUUGGGGCCAAAAAGGGGCCAAAAAACAAGCAUUUUUCUAGUUUCCAGACAAUAACUUGUGUUCAAGUGUAUGAAUCUCUCUGAAAUUGUAGUGCAAGGUACCAUACCACAAAGGGAAAGCUGGGAUUGAGUUUGGGGGCGGUGAAUCAUAAGGGGGUUCAAAAAAUUGGGGGGGGGGA